rnacentral:lncRNA from 1 species
CUCUCGAUGUGCAAGAUGACUGUCAAACUCUUAUGUCAGAUCCACUAUGGACAAGGAUUGCUUAGGCCAGAACUUACUCAACUAGUUGAUCUCCAAAGUAAGAGUCACCCGCUCCACAUCCCAUCCACUUUCCUCUGCUUGGAGAAGAUUCCAAACCCACAUCAUCUCUCCAACCUCAGUGCUAAUAAAUGUUGGCCACCGAUAGAGUGGAAGAUCGGCUACCCACGAGUCCUGAGCGAUGUCAAUUGAGAGGGCAUCUUUCACAUGCCAGGACAUCAAGGCCAAUAUCUUAGGAGCACGGGAGC